GGCAUGAAAGCCAGCUGGGUGACUUUGGGCCAUUCACCAGAUGGGGAGUUCUAGUCCCACUUUAGACACAAAAGGCAGCUAAGUGACUUCGGGCCAGUCUUUCUCUUUCACCCCAACCCGUCUCACGAGGUUGUUAUGGUGGGGAAAAUAGGAGGAGGAAGGGGUAUGAUGUAUGUUUGCUGCCUUGAGUUAUUUAUAAAAACUAAUAAAGGCAGGAUAUAAAUAAAUAUGUGAAAUCAAUUCCAUUCUCUUCCCCCUAGAUCUCUCCUCUGUCUGAAGAAGAACAGCUUGCAAUGCAGCAUUUGCUGUAUCAGACUCCUAAAGUGAUAGAAGGUUUGACAGAACAGAAUUGUCCAAAAGAAGAUUAAAUCCGCUGAUGUCCUGCAUGAACAUUUCAGAAAGAAACUUCCCAGUGGGAGGUGAUGAAGUGGCCACAUACCUUUUUGUGUAUAUAUAUAUAUUUACCCUGUUGGAGAUUAUUCCUGUGUUUGGUGCCUAGGUUCCCCAGACACCAAUGUAUAAAAGGUGCUGUUUUGAAUUAUGUGCUGGUGUCGCUAUUGUAACUUUAUUAAAAAUGUGAAAAAGUUUACAAAACGAUCAGCCAGUUUACAUGAUCUGAAUGCCUCUGCCCAAAGGGCAGGGUUUUUGUCUGUAUAUUAUUGGUGUAUUAUUGGUGUAACCCUGCCCUUCCAGUGUUUACAUGUGACUCGGGUUAACUGUCAGUAAUGACAAUUGAUUUCUGACCUAGCUCAACAUUCCGGAAAAAUAAAAUGAAUAAAACAAAAUAAAA